CAUUAUACUUCGAGAGUCAACAGCAUGUAGAUGGUGUUUAAGUCUGUGGAUCUGGUUGGCAGCACCAAGCAAGACAGAGUAGAAAGAAAAGGGAUGAGAUCUUAAGACUGAGCUUUCACAUGCUUUAGCAUUUAAAAGUUGCAAGGUGACAGGAGGAACACAAAGAGACUGGAGAAUAAAAGCAGCCAGUUACUCACAUGUAAAUGGAAAUAAUAUUAGGGCCUGCCUCAUGAGG
rnacentral:lncRNA from 1 species